rnacentral:rRNA from 1 species
UACGUAGGGUGCGAGCGUUGUCCGGAUUUACUGGGCGUAAAGAGCGCGCAGGCGGUCGUUCAAGUCGAGCGUGAAAGCCCCCGGCUCAACUGGGGAGGGUCAUUCGAUACUGAUCGACUCGAAGGCAGGAGAGGGAAGCGGAAUUCCCGGUGUAGUGGUGAAAUGCGUAGAUAUCGGGAGGAACACCAGUGGCGAAGGCGGCUUCCUGGCCUGUUCUUGACGCUGAGGCGCGAAAGCUAGGGGAGCAAACGGG